UGAAUACGAGACGCUACGGCGUUGAAGCAGUCUAUGUCAUACUUCCAAGAAAAGCUCGCAAUGUCAUAAACAAAUAAUGCCUGUACCAUAACCGACACAGGUGGGUAGGUAGAGUAUACUAAGGGGCGCGAGAUAACUCUCUCUAAGGAACUCGGCGAAAUGACUCCGUAACUUCGGGAGAAGGAGUGCCUUAUUUAUAAGGUUGCAAUAACAAGAUCCAAGCAACUGUUUAUCAAAAACACAGGUCUCCGCUAAGUCGUAAGACGAUAUAUGGGGGCUGACGCCUGCCCAGUGCCAGAAGGUUAAAGAAGUUGGUUAGCAUUCGCGAAGCUGAUAACUAAAGCCCUGGUGAACGGCGGCCGUAACGAUAACGGUCCUAAGGUAGCGAAAUUCCUUGUCGGGUAAGUUCCGACCCGCACGAAAGGCGUAAUGAUUUGGAUACUGUCUCGGAGAGGGGCUCGGUGAAAUAGACUUGUCUGUGAAGAUGCGGACUACCUGCACCUGGACAGAAAGACCCUAUGAAGCUUUACUGUAACUUGAAAUUGAAAUUGGACUUUAUUUGCGCAGUAUAGGUGGGAGGCGUUGAGAGUAUUCUCGCGGGAAUAUUGGAGCCAUCAGUGAGAUACCACUCUUGUAAUGUUAGAUUUCUAACUUUGUAUCAUUAUCUGGUCAAAGAACAGUUUCAGGCGGGCAGUUUGACUGGGGCGGUCGCCUCCCAAACGGUAACGGAGGCGUACAAAGGUUUCCUCUGAACGGGUAGAAAUCGUAUCUAGAGUGUAAAGGCAUAAGGAAGCUUGACUGUGAGACCUACAAGUCGAGCAGGGACGAAAGUCGGUCUUAGUGAUCUGACGGUGCUGAGUGGAAAGGCCGUCACUCAACGGAUAAAAGUUACUCUAAGGAUAACAGGCUGAUCUCCCCCAAGAGUUCACAUCGACGGGGAGGUUUGGCACCUCGAUGUCGGCUCAUCGCAUCCUGGGGCGGUAGUACGUCCCAAGGGUUGGGCUGUUCGCCCAUGAAAGCGGUACGCGAGCUGGGUUCAGAACGUCGUGAGACAGUUCGGUCCAUAUCCGGUGUAGGCGUUAGAAUAUUGAGAGGAGCCUUCUUUAGUACGAGAGGACCGAGAAGGACAUACCUCUGGUGUACCAGUUAUCGUGCCAACAGUAAACGCUGGGUAGCUAUGUAUGGAGAGGAUAACCGCUGAAAGCAUCUAAGUGGGAAGCCCACCUCAAGAUAAGUUUUCUCGU
rnacentral:rRNA from 1 species